UUGAUAUCAGUUUGAAGUAGUGGUUAGAAUAGCAUGAAAGUGCUGGAUCUAGAUUGUCCAUAUUGCUAUGUCAUUUCUCUUGUCUAGUGUUGGUUUGUGUGUCUUCCAUUGUCAUGUUCCUACAGACUAAAGAAAAAUCUAUUAAUAUGGAACACUUUAUAAUAAGUUUAAUUACAUUACAACCUAUAGAGCAAUAUGGAGAUGAAGAUUCCUAAACUAUUAAGGGGAAUAGCAUUUUCUAAUCCUAUAUUUUAGAAAACACAACAAAUAAAAGGAAAGAAAAUUGGGUUAAUCUCCCAAUAAGUGCUUGUUUAUAGUCAUUAGCGUGAUUUGUAAAGGAAGUUUUCAGCGGCUGUACUAGUAAUUGUUCCAUAAUUCAUCUUUAGCCCUUGAUUUUAAAAUUUUCACAAUGGUCUUAAUAGUUCCAACCAAUCCAUCAACUCUAUUUUUAUUUUUUUUUUAUUUUUUUUAGUGAUAACUUCCAUAAUCAUCAUUUUCCUCAUGGUCGAUUUUUUUACAUUCCUCAAGAUAGACAUGUUGCUUGAGUAGAGUAUUUAUUGUGAAACUUUGUUGUUUGUCUUUCAUCCUCAAGAUUAUUUCGCCCUUUUCAAAAUCCAUUAAUGUACAUUUGGUUACAAAGAAAGGUCAAGCAUGGAUGUAAAGCAUGGAAAUUACAUGUGAUGUGAUCUGUAACAUGCUUAUUUCCAACUGGUCCACCUUAAUGCCUUGGUGAGAUCAUUUUAAACAAGUUCAGAGAUAAUAAAUCAAAUAACUUUAUAACUGAAAAUAACUUUAACCUUAAAUCGUAUCCAAAAUAACUGUACAUGUGUCCAAUAUGAAAAGCAAAUAUACAAACUCCCACUGAAACUAGAUAUCUUCAAGAGACAUUAUACCCAUAUGAGCAGUGUGCUCAUGAAAGACCUUAGGUAUUAAUCCUUUAGUAAGGGGAUCCGCAACUAUGGAGUUUGUUCCAAUAUGCUCUAUUGACAUUUGUCCACUCUGAACUCUUUCUUUAACAGCCAGGAACUUGAUCUCUAUAUGUUUUGACUUUGUCGAGCUCCUGUUGUUAUUGGAAUACAGUACUGCUGAUUUAUUGUCACAAAAUAUCUUAAGUGCUGUUUCUAUAUUGUCCACAAUGCACAGCCCAGUGACAAAAUUACGCAGCCAUAUUCCAUAAUUUGAUGCCUCAUAACACGCUAUAAACUCCGCUGCCAUGGUGGAAGUAGCUAUGAGUGUCUGCUUAGCACUCUUCCAGGAAAUAGCACCUCCAGCAAGCAGGUAAAUAUAGCCUGAAGUGGAUCUCCUACUAUCUUAGCAUCCCACGAAAUCGGAAUCAGAAUAACCGACGAUCUCCAACUGAUUCGAUCUCCUGUAUGUGAGCAUGUAGUCUUUUAUUCUCUGUAAAUACCGCAUGACCCAUUUGGCUGCUUUCCAAUGAUCGAUUCCCGAGUUACUUAAAUAUUUCCCUAGCAUCCCAACAAUGUACACUAUAUCCGGACGUGUACAAACCUGAGCAUACAUCAGACUCCCUAUAGUUGAGGAUUAAGGAAUCUUCUGCAUUUCUUUAAUUUUUAAGUCUUUUUUAGGGCACUGACUUAAGCUGAACUUGUCUCCUUUUAGCCACAGGGGUGUCAUCUGGUUUACAAUCUUGCAUGUCAUAUCUUUUAAGUACCUUUUCGAUAUAACUCUUUUUUGAUAAUCCAAGAAUACCCCGAGAACGAUCUUGGUGUAUCUAAAUUCCUAAUACAAAAGAUGUGUCAUCAAGAUCUUUCAUCUCAAAAUUCUUUGCUAGAAAUCUCUUGAUUUCGUGCAAUAAGCCUAUAUCGUUGCUGGUAAUCAAUAUGUCAUCAACAUAUAAAACCAGAAAAAUAUACUUGUUCCCACUGAAGUUGUGGUAUAUACAAUCAUCGACCAAAUUCAUCUCAAAACCAAAUGAGAUGAUCACCUGAUGAAACUUGUAAUACCAUUGACGAGACUUGUGUUUGAGUCGAUAGAUGGAUUUCUUUAAUUUAUAAACAAUUUGUUUUGCAUCGUCCGAUACAAAGUUUUCUGGUUGUACCAUAUAAAUUGUUUCAUCAAUGUCACCAUUGAGAAACGUUGACUUAACAUCCAUCUGAUGUAGCUCAAGAUCAAAAUGUGCUACCAAUGCCAUUAUAGUCCUAAAAGAGUCUUUCGAAGAAAUCAGAGAGAAAGUCUCUUUAUAAUCAAUGCCUUCUUUCUGUGUAAAGCCCUUUGCGACAAGACGAGCCUUAUACCUCUCUGCAUCACCUUUCGAAUCCCUCUUGGUCUUAAAUAUCCAUUUGCAACCAAUUGGUUUCGUACCUUUAGGCAAUGGAACGAGGUCCCAUACGUCAUUGUCCUUCAUGGACUUUAUCUCUUCAUUCAUGGCAUCGAGCCACUUUUGAGAGUUAGAACUUUCCAUGGCUUGACGAAAGUUAAUCGGAUCAUCUUCCACCAUUCCAAUGUCAACUUCAUGUUCUUGGAGAAAUAUGAUGUAAUCAUUCGAAACCGCACUUCUCCUCUCUCUAGUGGAUCUUCUUAAUAACAUUGGUUCUUGAGGCUGUAGAGUUUGUUCUUCUGGAACAAUUUGUUGAUCUUCAGAGGGAGGUAUGACAUUGUCUUGAUCCAGAGUUGCUUCUUAAACAAUAUCAGGGAUAGAAACCUGAUCAUUGUCAAUGGCAAUUGGAGGAAUUUCAACAUAUUCCUCCUCAAAGGCAAAGCCUGUAACCCUUUCUCUCCCCCCCACCCCCGGCCGCAAACUCAAUAUCCUCAAAGAACCAAGCAUUUCCUAUCUCGAAAAUUGCCUUAGUUGUGGGAUCAUAAAACUUGUAACCCUUGGACAUUUCAGAAUAUCCAAUAUGGUCCUUGCGUCCAGUUUCUUUUCAUUUGGCUUAUAGGGCAUUGCCUUAGCUAGACACCCCCAAAUAUGUAUAUGCUUCAAACUAGGCUUCUUGCCUGUCCAAAGGUCAUAUGGGGUUUUAUCAGUGGCCUUAGUUGGAACUCUGUUGAGUAUAUAAGCUACGGUCUUUAAUGCUUCACCCCAGAGAGAUUCUGGUAAGGUAGAAUGACUAAUCACCAUAUCUUUAAGCAUUCUGUUUUGUCUCUCAGCAACACCAUUCAUAAUGGGCGAACCCGGCAUAGUGUACUGUAGGACGAUACCGCAUUCUUCUAGGAAUUUAGCAAAUGGCCCUGGACGUUGUUCACCUAAACCGUCAUAUUUGCCAUAGUAUUCACUUCCACGGUCAGAUCUGACACUUUUAAUCCUUUUGCCGAGUUGGUUCUCAACUUUAGCUUUAUAGUUUUUGAACACAUCCCCUGACUGUGAUUUUUCAUGAAUGAGAUAUAUGUAGCCAUAUCUUGAAAAGUCAUCUAUGAACGUUAUAAAAUAUUGUUGACCAUUCCAAGAACCCGUAGGGAAUGGUCCACAAAUAUCUGUAUGUAUAAAUUCUAAGACGUCCAAAGUCCUAUUGGCUUGAAAUCUCCUUUUAUUGGUUUGUUUUCCCUUUAUAUAGUUGACACAUAGAUCAUAAUUUGUGAAUUCAAGAGGGUCGAGAAUCCCGUCAGACACAAGUCUCUCAAUUCUCCUUUUGGAGAUGUGACCUAAUCUCUUGUGCCACAACGAGGCAGAAUUCUCACUGGUUAAUUUUCGCUUUACACCUCAAAUACUCACAUGCAAGGUUUCAUUAUAAGAAGCAAUUGUAUCAAUUGAAUAAAGAUUAUCGUAACCUGAUAAAGAACCAGAACCAACUAAUUUUGAAUCAUGAAACAAACUAAAUUUUUCAUUUUCAAAUUAACAAUUAUAACCAUAUUUGUCCAAAACAGAAAUAGAAAUCAAAUUUCGUCUAAAAGACAGUACAAUAAAUGUCUCAACAAGAUCCAAAUAAAACCCAGUCUUUAACAAUAAUCUAAAAUUUCCUAUUACCUCUACUUCCACCUUCUUUCCGUCGCCAGCAUAGAUGUAUCUUUAUCACUUGGUUUUCGACAACUCAGGCAACCCUGCAUAGACAUACUGAUGUGAGUUGUUGCACCAGAAUCUAUCCACCAUGUAUGUCUAGGUACCGAAGUUAAAUUAACCUCAGAACAAACCAAAUGAAGAAGAGUACCUUUCUUUACACGCCAUGCGUGGUAAUUGGUGCAAUUCUUCUUCUUAUGACCAGCAGCUCCAUAGAAGAAACAACCACCUUCAAUUGAUUCCUUAUACUAUUUCUUUUGCGGUGCUGUACCCGCAGCUUUCUUAUUAAUCUUCAUUUUCUUGUUCCUUUUGUCCUUAGAGGUGGUAGCCAAAUGAGCACUUUCUGUCUUUUCAUGCUUCAAUCUUUCCUCUUUCGAGACACAGUGUGAGAUGAGCUCAUUAAGGGACCAUGAGUCCUUGUGAUAGUUGUAGCUCACCUUGAAUUGACUGAAAUGUGCCGAAAGGGAUAUCAGAACCAAGUGCACCAACAAGUCUUCAGAUAAAUCCAACUUGAGUGCCUUUAGUUUUGAAGCAAUGUGAGACAUUUCCAUAAUGUACUCCCGAAUGUUUCCUUUCCCUUUAUACCUCAUUGAGACAAGGUUUGCCAAAAGUGUACUUGUUUCAACCUUUUCAUUCUUGGCAAAUCUCUUCUUAAGAUCCUCAAGGAAACCCUUAGCCGUAGUCACUUUAUCGGACAUAGUGCCCCGGAAUGCUUCUGGAAUAGCACGCUUCAUGACCAUUAAGCUUAUGCAGUUCGACCGUUCCCACUUUUACAUCUCUCUCUUGUCAUCAGAGGUGCUCUUAUCAAUAAGUGGAGCAGGUUGAUCAACCCGUAAAGCAAGGUCCAGGUCCAGGUCCAUGACUCUGAGAACAAUCAUCACGUUCUCUUGCCAUGCCCUGAAGUUUGUGCCAUUAGCAAUGGAAUUGAAUUGAUGCAAGCAGAGAUAUUAGCAACAGAACCUGAAACUGAAUUAGAGAACGAUUAUUAUGAAUAGCUCACAUGAAUUUCUUUAAUAUGCAAAUAAUAAUAAUCUCAAAUAGUGGUAGGGUCCAUCAUAAGAUACCAAGCGCACAACAUCAAUAUCUAGUCUUUGGACAGAGAUUUUGACUUGUAAGCGGUACUCUUGGCGUAGUUAUCAAACAUUGACGAUAAAACAUGUAUCAAUUAAUAAACAAUUCUUUGGACCGAUUUAUUGAUCACACAUUAAACCAAAUAAUCAUCACACAUUUAUCACCACAGGUGCUCAUGUAUUCGGCUAAAUAUUGACAUUCUUUUGGACCGACCAAUAUUCCCAUGAAUAACACAUGCACUAACAUCUUUUAAUAUUCUAAGUUAAUUAAUUUCCACAAGAGAAGUUACUUUGGCAACAUGUUAUUUCAAUUAACUAACUUUCGAACAUUAUAUCUCUUAAAAGAGUCCUUAGUACCAAAAUUUGAGAAAGAGAAUCACCAAUUUUGCAUAUUUGAUUUAGCUUUAAACUUUAGGGGCCCUAGGAUUAAUAAUUCAAAACUUUAUGGGGGCAAAAUUAAUUAAUUCCAAACUUUAGGGGUUGAAAUUAAUAAAAUUGAAACUUUAGGGACCAUAAUUAAUUAAUUCAAAACUUUAGAGGAUCUAUUAGAACAAAUUUAAAACUUUAGGGGCCAAAAGUUGACCAAUUCAAAACUUUAGGGAUCAAACUUUGAAAAUUUGAAACUUUAGGGGUCAAUUUGAAUUAAUUAUAAACUUUGGGGAGCAAUUUGAAUUAAUAAUUAAAGUUUGAGGGCUUUAAUUAUAAAAUUUAGAACUUUAAUGGCCCGAAUUAAUUAAUUUUUAAACCUUUGGGACUGAAUUAUUAAAUCCAAAACUUAAAUGUCCAAAUCUAAAUAUAACUUAAAUGUUAGGGACUGGAACUUCAAUUUUAUAACCCUAACCCUAAUUGCAAUUAGGGGCCUCAAAUUAUCUAAUUUACAGAAAAAGCCCCCACCCCAAAAUCUUGCUGAAAGAGAAAGAAAACCCUAAAAAAAAAAAAAGUUUUCUCUCUUCCUCUCUUGGGCGGCGCCAAAGGGAGCAGUGGCGCCGGGGUGACUGGCGCCACAUGCAGCGCCCAGUGCUGCUGCAAUGCGCUGCUCGCACAGCAGCGCGUUAAACCUUUGGGACUGAAUUAUUAAAUCCAAAACUUAAAUGUCCAAAUCUAAAUAUAACUUAAAUGUUAGGGACUGGAACUUCAAUUUUAUAACCCUAACUCUAAUUGCAAUUAGGGGCCUCAAAUUAUCUAAUUUACAGAAAAAGCCCCCACCCCAAAAUCUUGCUGAAAGAGAAAGAAAACCCUAAAAAAAAAAAAAAGUUUUCUCUCUUCCUCUCUUGGGCGGAGCCAAAGGGAGCAGUGGCGCCGGGGUGACUGGCGCCACAUGCAGCGCCCAGUGCUGCUGCAAUGCGCUGCUCGCACAGCAGCGCGAAGCUGUUGCUCCUCCAGCAGCGGCUGCUGCCGGAAAAGCCAAGAAUUAAAUUUUUUUUUCAAAUCCCAAAAGAAUCUAAAUCCAAAACCUGAAUCAACCAUAAUUUGAAUUCUUCUCAAACCUCAAUUAUUUUUAAUCCAAAUUAUGAAAGAUAAACAAGAAUAAAAUACCGUAAUGUUUUCAAAUUCAACAAAAAUAAAUCCAAAUUUUUUAAAUCUGAAAAUUUCAAAAUAAUAUUUCAAGAACCAAAUAAAUUAUUCGAUUCUCAAUGAUUCAACAUGAAGAGACUCUGAUUCCACUCGUAGGAUAAUUUAAUACUUUAAAUCACCGGAUCUUUCAUGUUAAAUCAUCAAGAAAUUGAAGAACUGUAACGGAAACGUACCUGAAUCAGACAUGGUUAUUUGCAAUAAUUGAAUCUUGCGGUAUAAUCUUCCAAAUCUACAUGCAGUCUCAUUUAUCUCUCUAUGAUGGGAUGCAGUAGAGAAUGAAUAAUACGUACGUGUGAUCUGGGGACUAUAACCGUAUUUAUAUAGUGACGCCCUUUGACCUAAUUCAGCCCAUCAUAUAAUUAGGACUUGAGCCCGGUCUCUACACAUAUGUAAACCCACACUUUAAUUGGAUACAUUAAAGCCGAAAAUCGAAGCCUUAUUAGAUCACUUUAAUUGGGCUCAACCGAAUUCGAUAGCUUUUAAUUUAACACACAAUUAUUCACACAUAUAAGCACAUCGAUGGAUUAAAAAUUCUUACACAUACAUCUAAAUCACUACAGAAAAUUUAUACUCUCCCUACAAAUUUUUGGGAGACAAAUUAAAUUUUGUUGGAGGAAUUCACUUUUUCCUACAAAAAUAAUGUUUCAUAGGGCUAUGGUUUGCUUCAAAAUUUUCAAUAGUAGGAAGACUUGUACCCACAAAAAAUUGCAUUUUUUUCCUGACAAAAAAAUUUGACGGUAAAAUUAAAUCUUUUGCCAAAAAAGUAAUUAAAGUGUUUGUAGGCUAAUAAUUAGUGGGAAAAUUUUCUUUUUACUAUUUGUAUUUUUAGUCCCUACAAAAUAUAAUUUGAAGCGAAAAGAUAAUUAAAAAUAUAUAUUUAUAGAAAAGAUAAUUAUUUUUUGUUAACAAGAUCCAAAUUUAAGAAAAUCCAUAAAUACAUAGAAUCCACGUCUUUCCUACUUCUCCAAAAUUUUGCCCUCAGAAAAUUUUGGCAAAAAAAUCUUCCCUCCAUGCCUCUUUAUUUAAUUGAAGAAUAAUCUCAUAUACAAGUAAAGAUGAAACCUUUCCACUUUAUUUAAUUGAGGAAUAAUCUAAUAUACAAGUAAAGAUGAAACCUUUCCACUUGGAUUGGCUUGCUUGGCACUUUGUCAGACCAGAUGGGGAGCGCUUGGACCCUGGCCAGUUGGAGGCACAUCCUGCGAUUAACCGGACUGUGUGAAGAGGGGCCGGAUCACAGACCCNNNNNNNNNNNNNNNNNNNNNNNNNNNNNNNNNNNNNNNNNNNNNNNNNNNNNNNNNNNNNNNNNNNNAAAAAAAAAAAAAAAAAAAAAAAAGAUGAAACCUUUCCACUUUCUUUAAUUGAAGAAGAAUCUCGAUCGUAUACAAGGUAAAGAUGAAAUGACCUGGACCUUCAAUAAUACGAAGAGACGAGAUUUGAAGCAACAAUUUGAAAUGCUAGUGAUUUGUACCGAAUACAAACAAUAUGGGUAAGUAAUUUAUAGAUUUUUGGGUUUACUCAUAUAUAAUUCAUACUUCUGUAUUUUUCUUUGGAUUGCUUUAUGAAUAUUAAUGUCAUUAGUAAUUUUUUUUUGUAAUAUCUAUUUUUCUUCCACUUGGUAGAAACACGGAUUAUAGGGUAUAAAGUCCUUAAGUUUGGUUUGUAGACCUGCUUUAGGUUCUAAUUAAUUUCAUCAAUUUGUGUUCUUCGUCAAGCAAUCUUUAAGGUAUGCCCUUCAAUCCUAUUUAUUUUUUGAUGUAAACAGAUGAAUUUGAAGUCUUGGAUGAACAAAUUUGGUUUAGUUUUACUAUCGGUCGAUUCAAUCUUGGUUGUCAGUUUUCGUCUUUCUUGAAAUAUAUCAAUGUUGAAUUAUAGAUCUUGUUUUAUCAUUAGAUUAAUUUUAUUUUGAAUUUUCGGAGAGAGUUGAAUUAUAUUAGAUAUAGGAUUUAGUACAAGGAAUUAGAAAAAAAUUAUGAUCUGAAUAUUAUGAUUUGAAUUGUAUUGUUAUGUUGUAGGGAUUUUAGUUAUGAUAAUCUUGAUAAGAGAGAAGUUCAACUUAUUAGUAACUUGGUUCUUAUAAUCUAGCAAUUCAGGGUUAUGGUUCAAAUACAUGUACCGGGAAAUUUGUAAUUUUGCUUGGAGUUAAUGUCUUUUUUACUUGUUUUGGGUUAAAAGUUGGUUAAGUAAUUUUUUUCUUUGGGAGAUAGAAACUAAAGUUGAUUCAUAUGAGACCAACUUUGCUACUAUUAAUAAGUAACCUGCAUACAUACACGUAUGAAAUAUUCGUAUUAGAUAAUGAUGUCGCAAAAGUUCAUACUGUUACCUGCAUAUGGAAGACCAAAAUGUAGCAGGCUCUUCAUCAGAAACAUAGAAGAGGCUAAGCCAAUCUUUCUACUCCAGAGUGUUCUCUGCUUGAGAAGAAAAGAUUGUCCCAUAACUUACGAGUUGCUUUCUUCAUAUUAUCCAACACUAUCAUUUGUAUCCCAGGAUUGUUAAACUAAAAUAAACCUUCUUUUCUCUACUGCAUUGCAUAUCAUAGCUACCACCACUUGAUCAUUUGGGACAGAAAUGGACUCCUAAGCUAGUACAGUGCUGGUAGAGAUUUGUUCUCGAGGAGGUUUAACAAAUAUAUUACUUAGGUAAUGUUUGAAGAACUAUAUGAGAAAGACCCUUAACUCCAUGACCUUCAUCUACUACAAAAUUUUUUAUAUCCCUCUAGUCAGAUUGAAUUCUUAAAAGUUUUGUAGCCAUAUGUGUUACAAUAAGCAUGAUACUUUUCAAUUCUGAAUUUCUAGCCUGUCUUGCAAUUAAUAUUUUCUUAUUUUGUGAUGGAUGAUGAUUAGAGCUUUCAUUGUGAAUUUAGGCCAAACGCUGUAUUUUCUAGUAGAAGUUUAUCUUUUGGGAAACUAAUUGAAGCAGUUGAAAUGUUGUGGGAUUUAAUUAAUAUUUUCUUAUUUUGUGAUGGAUGUUGAUUAGAGCUUUCAUUGUGAAUUUAGGCCAAAUGCAGUAUUUUCUAGUAGAAAUUUAUCUUUUGGGAAACCAAUUGAAGUGGUUGGAAUGUCGUGGGAUUUAGAUGGUUGGAAGUGGAAAGUUGAUUUAUUGGUUUUUGAAAGUGAGGGAAUUAAUGGAUAUGACAAAAUUAUUUUGCAACGGUUAAAUUGCCUGGAUUUUGGAAUAGUUAAAUUUCCUCGUUUUUGGAAUAAUCAAUGGAAAUUAUUCCCCCCUGGCAUGACCUUCAUUCUAUGUGGUGGUCAAGUAUGUUAUUUGUUAGAGGGACUUUACUAUAUUUCACCCAUAUAUCAGAGUAUGUAUUCAUGCUUUACUCAAUCAUUCAUCUUGCUUUAGCCUCAUGAUUCCAUAUUCAUUGUACUCCUAAUUUUGUUAUGUAAUAUCUAUAUUUUUUUUCUUUGCAAAAAGCAUCAUCAAUGGAUAUAAUGAACCAAUUGAACAAAAAAAUAGUCAUCGUACCAGUUCAUGUCCUUACUCAUACAUAGUGAAAGAGGUGAUAAAGGUAGUGAAUGUAUAUGUUAUCAAUAUGUGCUUUAUUAAAUAAUUUUGCUGAUAAUUUGAAUGUAGUGUUUGAAACAUAAUUGCUAACUAUUAGGACGGUACGAGGUUUUCUAAAGUCGACACCUUUGAGUUCGCUUAUGAAGGAAAUAAUAAAUGUCAUACUUAUAAUGCAGCUAAGGCUCAACACGUAAAAAAGACUCAACGCUAUAACUUUUAUAUUGCUUAUCAUGUGUUAUAUUUCUAGUGUAUAAUUGUAUUAUAUCUCUUACAUAUUUUAGUUAUAUAGACUAUUUUAUAUCACCUAUGGGUUGUGUUUGUAGGAUAAGAUGCUUGUUAAAGAGUAUGAACAUCUUGUAGAGAAGGUAAAGGAGUAGUAGAUUCCCGAAGAUAUCCCUUUCAAGGAAUACCUAUAGAUAAUCCUACUGUUGGACUUAAUAUCAUGAUGUCCGUUCUAAGUACAAAGCCCAGACAUCAAAUUCGUGGGUUGAAAGAUGGUCGCCUUUGAGAUAUUAAAACAUCUUCUUCCAAUGUACGCAAUAUGGAGGAUUUAGAAGCAGAACGUGCUGCUCAAAAGGUUGAAUAUGCAGCUCAAGUGAAAAUGGAGCAAAGGAUACAAAACAAGUUGAAGGUUGUUAAGCAACAAUUCAAUUCUAUUUUGCAAUCUUGGCAUCACUCUAUGCACCAGUUACGUGGUAAAGUACCUGGCUUUGUGGUAACAUCAUUUACACUACUGUCAACAGAGAUUAAUACUACUGAGGAAAAUGAUGCUAUUCAUGAGGACAAAGAGAACAACUUUGAAGAGGAUCAGUUGAAUACCUAAUUUACGAGGAUGAACAGUAGUGUUUUUUAGAUGCAUAAUAAUAGAUAUAGAGGAUGUUUGCUAUAUUAUUUUUAUGUCCAGGUAUAACCAUACUUAGUGAAUGAUUUUUAUUUAUAUUUUUUUGAAAUAUUUUGGAUUCAAUAUUACAUUGAUUGGCAUUACAUGUCUUAAUUAAAUUAUUGGUUUUUUUUUUUUUUGCAUCUUUAUAUUAUUUUGAAUGUGGUUAAAAAAUUACUAUAAUAUAAAAACAUAUAUAAAAUAAUUUAAUUUCUCCCUACGAAUUCUUUCAUAAUAGCCUACAAAUAUGUUUUUCUAUGAAAAAUUAUUUGUAGAGAAAAACAGGGUUUAGCCUACAAAAUAAUAUGUAUCAUGUAGUCACAAGUUUUUAAUUAUUGGAAAAAUGUAUAUAUUUUAGCCCACAAAUAUUCCUUCCACACAAAAUAAUUUUAGUAGGGAAAAGCAAGUUUUGGCCCACAACAUAAUUUGUAGGGAAAAGUGAUAUCGUUUCGUAGGCAAACUUAGCUUUAGCAGGCAAAUGAUUUUGUCGAGAGAAAACUUACCCGACGUAUUGUAUUCGUCUCCAAAGGGUUCGUAGGGAAAAACAUUUUCCCACAAAUUUCAAAAUUUUGUAGGCUAAAGUCUAUCUCCUUGAUGUAUGCCCCACAAAUGUCCCCACAAAUCAUUUUUGAUUUUUUCCCACAAAUAAAAACCUUUCCCUACAAAUAAAUUUUGUAGGGAAAACAUAAAACUCAUGUAGUGGAUAUACCUCUUAUACUAUAUAAUUCAUCAAACUUUACAAGAAAAUAGAGGCAAUUCAAUCAUUCUUUUUGGAGAAUUAAGAGCCAAACACAAGAUUUCAUUCAAAUGAUGAUCCAACCUUAAUUUUUUGGGCAGAAAAGAAAAGUCUCAACUAGAGAUUAAUCAAGAAAUAAUUGAAGUGAUUCAAGAUAUAAUGAUACAUCUUCUUCUUAAUUUAUCAAAAAUCAAGGUGAUGUUCUAUAAAUCAAAUAUGAUUUCUUUUAAUUUUGCUAUAGUUGGCUAGAUUUCUAUCUACUAAGAUAUAGAUAAACCCUUAUAAUAAAGUUUUAAUAUAGUUUCAAUAUUAUGACAUCUAAUAUGUGUUUAUUCUUAAAUAAUUGUUAUAUAAUUUAAUGUCUUUCGGUUACUUGAUCACUAAUUGGAUGGAAUUAAGAAUUUUACUGUUACUGAGAGAGACAAUAGUAUAGAUAGCAUUAUUAACAAAUGUUGUGAGAUCUUAUUGAGGAUAGAAAUAUAUCUCUAUACUUUGCAUGAUUUCAAUAGAUAUUCUAAUGUUUUUAAUACAUGUUUUAAUAUUAGCAUCGUUCAUAAAAAAUUAUGAAGGUCACAUGAGAUGAUAUAUUUAAUUCUACUCUAGAAAGAUUAUUAAAUAAUUUAACGUUGAUCAACAAGAAUACUUACAUGUUGUCAUGGUCUUGAAUUGCAUUAAAAUUGAUUAAUAAGGGGGAUUCAAAGUCCCGGUAAUCAUUUCACAUAGUUUUACAAAAAUAAUCAUAAUUUGUUCAUUAGAAUAUUUAGUUUAAAUAAUUAAUCAGUAAAAAUUAUUCAUAAAAAUUUAGUUAUUCGAUUAGAGUAAAAAUUAAUUGAAACUAGAUUACAAACAUAAUUUUCAUGGGAACGAUGCUUUAUUUAUCAUUGUAUUAUAGUUUACGAUACUGUGCACUUGCCAGACUUUGUAGAUCAAUCUUCCUAAGAUUGUAGACAUAUCUUGAUUUUCUUCUACAUCAGAGAUGACAGAAAUCAACUAGAAAAUAAAAUCUCAAGCUUCGACAAGCAUACCCUCAACCGUUCCAUAAGGAUGCUUGAUUUAUUUCUCGGCUCCCCAAUACCUAAUUUCUUGUAAAUAUACAAUGGCACUAGAUUAAUACUUGCUCCAAAAUCAAUUAAAACAUUUAUACUAUGUGAAUUUCCUAUAGAGCAAAAUAAUGCAAAACUCCUUGGAUUUUUUUAGUUUAUGAGAGAGCGUAGGUCGUAAGAUUCCACUGCAUUUUUAGAUAAUGUCAUUAGUUCAUAUUGUGGCAGCUUCUUCUUCUUAGUCAACAUCUGCUUCAAAAAUUUUGCAUAAUUUAAAAUUUGAAGGAUUGCUUCAAUGAAAGGAAUAUCGAUUUGAAUUUGCUUAAGGCGUCCAAGAACUUCUUGAACUGCUUUUUCCAACUUAUUGUUCUAUAGACAGCGGUAUAUGUGAAUUUGCAGGAAUGGUUAUCUUAACUUGUGGACUGUCUUCAAGUUGUUCCCGAUUGACUUUUGUUAAUUUUCCAGACUAAACCAUUUGUUUCUUACCCACGGUAGGUACCUGAUUAUCCUCAGUCUCUUUCUUUUUUAUGCUGAACUCCACUUCUUGUUAUGAUGGCCUAAACCUGUUUCUUCUUUAGCUGCUUUCAAAGACUUUGAAAGAAUAGGAUAUGCAGCACAUAAGCUCAUGCAGGCUCAACAAAUUUGAUUGAUGGUACGUAACUGUUCAUCUUCCAUAGCUUUAAUAGCUAGCACCUAUUCCCGUGGGUUCUCUGUGUAGCUUGGCAGGGUAUCCUUUUAUUCUAUUGGACAACAUAGCUACUAUCUAUCCCACUUGACUUUUCAAAUUUUGGAAAGAAAUUUACUGAUUUUGGAGUACUGUCUUAAUCUCUAUGAGUACUGAGCCAUUAGAUCCUCUAAAGAUGACUUCUCUCUUAUUGUUGGGAUGUCAACAAGCCGAACCAAGUCAGCUUGUAAGUCGAAACUUGAAGAUUGGGCUCGGCACGAGUAAAACUAAGUUGAGCUUUUUUUGCCAGAGUCAAGUUGAGUAAAAGCUUUGCAAAUAAUCGAGGUUCUACCCGAGCUUUCAACUCAAGCCUUACCGAGCUAAGUCGAGUCGGCUGGAUUUUUUU
rnacentral:lncRNA from 1 species